GGAUCAUCAACAUGGGGAAAUAACGUCCUUGCUACUUCACAUAAUGAUUUUCAUGCUGGCAUAGUAUCUCCUUCUGUCGUUGCUGAAAUAAGUUCCUAGUAUCUCCUUCUGUCACUGCUGAAAUCAAUGCUUCAUUCGAGGCAUCCUUUCCAAACCCUCAAGAACGAAAAGCUGAUAAGGAACGCUGGGGAGCUGAAGUGUUUAGGGUGAAAACUCCUAAGAAAAGCUCAGAAGAUGCAUCGGGUUCUGGAUCAGGAAAAAGAAAGAGAAUUUCACUUACGAGGUUCAAGUCAUUCGAAAGGAGGAACAAGCCAGUUGUUCAAACCUCGAGCUGCUGGUUCAAUAUCUGAUGAAGAACUGGCUGCGAAAAUCACUGACCUGGGAAAAUAUAUCUUUUUGCAUCCUUAGCUCAUCACUUGGGAAAACGGCUUCAAUGCUCCUCAUGAGACUCCAUCAUUGGAGAAAGGAAUGGAAAAG
rnacentral:lncRNA from 1 species